rnacentral:lncRNA from 1 species
CUUUUCCUCCUCCUCUUCCUCCUUCUCCUCCUCUUCUUCCUCCUUCUCCUUUUCUCAUACAUUACAUCCAGUGAUAGUAUUCUUGACAAGUAUAUCUGAGACCCUGACUUCCAUGCCCAAGACACACACACACACUCACACACACACACACGAAUGCACUCAUACCCUACAACAUGACACAAGAAUACUGAAUAAGAAAAAGUGAAAAUGAAAUAAAAAGCAGAUAAAAAAGGUUAAAGAAGCAACAAAGAGCAGAGAUAACCAAGGGUGAUGUGACCUUCAGGUGAUAAGGUGCACCCAGGAGAAGCAGAGCAAAGUCAAGUAACAGAGACCUCAAAGUGCACACUGAGAAAAACAGCUGAGCCUGCCUGAGGAUAGUCUGUACCUAGGCCUGAGGAUAGUCUGUAUCUAGGCCUGAGGAUAGUCUGUACCUAGGCCUGAGGAUAGUCUGUACCUAGGCCUGAGGAUAGUCUGUAUCUAGGUCUGAGGAUAGUCUGUAUCUAGGCCUGAGGAUAGUCUGUAUCUAGGUCUGAGGAUAGUCUGUAUCUAGGCCUGAGGAUAGUCUGUACCUAGGCCUGAGGAUAGUCUGUAUCUAGGCCUGAGGAUAGUCUGUAUCUAGGCCUGAGGAUAGUCUGUAUCUAGGCCUGAGGAUAGUCUGUACCUAGGCCUGAGGAUAGUCUGUACCUAGGCCUGAGGAUAGUCUGUAU